rnacentral:rRNA from 1 species
CCUACGGGAGGCAGCAGUGGGGAAUAUUGCACAAUGGGGGAAACCCUGAUGCAGCAACGCCGCGUGAGUGAAGAAGUCAUUCGUGAUGUAGAGCUCUAUCAGCAGGGAAGAAAAUGACGGUACCUGAGUAAGAAGCCCCGGCUAACUACGUGCCAGCAGCCGCGGUAAUACGUAGGGGGCAAGCGUUAUCCGGAAUCACUGGGUGUAAAGGGAGCGUAGACGGCUGUGCAAGCCUGAAGUGAAAGGCGGGGGCCCAACCCCCGGACUGCUUUGGGAACUGUACGGCUGGAGUGCAGGAGAGGGAG